rnacentral:rRNA from 1 species
UACGUAGGAGACGAGCGUUGUCCGGAAUCACUGGGCGUAAAGCGCGUGUAGGCGGAUCGGCAAGUCUGCUGUGAAAGCUCCUGGCUUAACCGGGAGUGGUCGGUGGAAACUGCCAGUCUGGAGGACGGUAGAGGUAGGUAGAAUUCCCGGUGUAGUGGUGAAAUGCGUAGAGAUCGGGAGGAAUACCUGUGGCGAAGGCGCCUACUGGGCGGACCUGACGCCUGAGACGCGAAGGC